AUUGAACGCUGGCGGCAUGCCUUACACAUGCAAGUCGAACGGCAGCACGGGAGCAAUCCUGGUGGCGAGUGGCGAACGGGUGAGUAAAGUAUCGGAACGUGCCCAGUCGUGGGGGAUAACGUAGCGAAAGUUACGCUAAUACCGCAUACGAUCUAUGGAUGAAAGCGGGGGAUCGCAAGACCUCGCGCGAUUGGAGCGGCCGAUAUCAGAUUAGGGAGUUGAUGGGGUAAAGGCUCACCAAGCCGACGAUCUGUAGCUGGUCUGAGAGGACGACCAGCCACACUGGGACUGAGACACGGCCCAGACUUCUACGGGAGGCAGCAGUGGGGAAUUUUGGACAAUGGGCGAAAGCCUGAUCCAGCCAUGCCGCGUGCAGGAUGAAGGCCUUCGGGUUGUAAACUGCUUUUGUACGGAACGAAAAGGUUUGGCCUAAUAAGCUGAGCUCAUGACGGUACCGUAAGAAUAAGCACCGGCUAACUACGUGCCAGCAGCCGCCGUAA
rnacentral:rRNA from 1 species